UACGUAGGUGGCAAGCGUUAUCCGGAUUUAUUGGGCGUAGAGGGAACGCAGGCGGUCUUUUAAGUCUGAUGUGAAAGCCUUCGGCUUAACCGGAGUAGUGCAUUGGAAACUGGGAGACUUGAGUGCAGAAGAGGAGAGUGGAACUCCAUGUGUAGCGGUGAAAUGCGUAGAUAUAUGGAAGAACACCAGUGGCGAAAGCGGCCCUCUGGUCUGUAACUGACGCUGAGGUUCGAAAGCGUGGGUAGCAAACAGG
rnacentral:rRNA from 1 species